AAAUGAAUAGACGGGGGCCCGCACAAGCAGUGGAGUAUGUGGUUUAAUUCGAAGCAACGCGAAGAACCUUACCAGGUCUUGACAUCCUAUGGACCUUUCAGAGAUGAGAGGGUGCCUUCGGGAACAUAGAGACAGGUGGUGCAUGGUUGUCGUCAGCUCGUGUCGUGAGAUGUUGGGUUAAGUCCCGCAACGAGCGCAACCCUUGUCAUUAGUUGCUACGCUAAGAGCACUCUAAUGAGACUGCCGUUGACAAGACGGAGGAAGGUGGGGAUGACGUCAAAUCAUCAUGCCCCUUAUGAUCUGGGCUACACACGUACUACAAUGGUUAUUAACAAUGGGAAGCGAUAACGCGAGUUUGAGCAAAUCCCCAAAAAUGACCUCAGUUCGGAUUGUAGGCUGCAACUCGCCUACAUGAAGUCGGAAUUGCUAGUAAUCGCGGAUCAGCAUGCCGCGGUGAAUACGUUCCCGGGCCUUGUACACACCGCCCGU
rnacentral:rRNA from 1 species